GGAGAGAUGGCAGAGCUCGGUCGAAUGCGCCUGAUUCGAAACCAGGUAGGUCUAACAGCCUCGGGGGUUCAAAUCCCUCUCUCUCCGCCA
rnacentral:tRNA from 1 species